CCACAAGUGCCCUCUUUACAUUUUUAUCCUUCCAUUUCUUCCUCAGUCAAAGACCCUUCAAUUAAAGUUACUAGACCUCUGACAAGGAUGGCUAAUAAAAUGAUUAUAAAGUUUUUCAUGAAUGAGCUGUUAUUACUAAGAGAAUGAGAGAGAGCGUUAACACUGCUGGCCUCAUUUGAUUAGGCUCACGCAGCCAGACUCCAUUGAAAUCACUUUUUACCCUAUUCUCACUGAUGAAUGUUACUAGUAUGCUGUUUACUUCCUCUACCGGAUUACAAAUGAAUGCAAUUAAAAUUCUAAAGCAAAAAACCAAACCCUCUUGCCCUCAUUUAAUGUACACCUAAAGCAUCUAGAUUUUGUACAGAGCAUAGAUCUGUGAUACACAAUGAUAGAAAAUACAAAUCCUGUUCAGUUUACAGGUUCUUUUGUGGUUAUUACUGGAUUAUCAAAAGCAAAGUAUGGUUCUCCUAUGUCAUUUUAAUACAAUAUGAGACAAAAUGGAAAGUAGAAAAGCAAAAUAUGCUCCUGAUUAAUAAUCGGCUAAACAAGCAUUUAAUUUAAAGUCAUUGUAUCUUUUCUCAAGGUAUUCUAAUAAAUUGAGUUUUGAAUUUAUAUUUUCACUGUAUGAAUGCUUGGAUUGAAAAUCAGAAGUCAGAGUCAUUUUCUCCUCCAAAUUUUAAAACUACCCAAAGAGAAACACUGCUCACAGCAAUGAUAAUUUCAGAAAGUCUCUGGAAGCACUCAAACUGCAAAGGUGAAAAAGAGAAAUGUGUGCACUUUAUUGCUCUCUUGAUUCUUGGACUUGAAACCUCUCUUCUAAUCUCCAGCAUAGGUGCUCGCAAUGGGAAGUUAGUGCUGGACAUCCUGACCAGGAGAACUUCGGCUUCAUUUCAUAGCUAUAUCAACUUUGAUUAUUAGUCUUCUGUCCUGGAACCUGUGACUCACUGGCUGAGCAUAAGUAAUAGCAAUUAUCAGGUAUGUUUUUAACAUAGAAAUAUGUUUUUAAAAUUUCCUUGCCUGAAAAUAUAUUUAUUAUAUAAGGAUGGUGCACAGUUUUAGAAAGGUUCAUCCAAGAAAACUUAAUAUAUUAUGUACAUACCCACAUAGACUUUAUUGUCCAUUUUUUUAAAGUAAAAUAUUUGUGUAUCUACAUGGCAAAAGAGACAGGAAAAACUAGUUUUUCCAGUUAAUAAUCCAGAAUUUAUGAAGACUAGAAAACUCAAAUUCUACAGUGGAUUUGUUUCUAUUUUGUGAAGGGGGAAGGGAUAAGUAGAAUUUUGUUUUGCUCAUUCAUGUUACAACAACAAACAUUUGGGUGAUACUCUACAUUUAUACAAGUUAUCCCAUUUAAUUCUUAGAACAACCCUUAAGGUAGAGGAUAUGAUAAUCCUUGAGAGAAAAGAAAAUCAAGACCUAGGCAAUUUAUUUAUUUUUUUUUUCAACGUUUAUUUAUUUUUGGGGGGACAGAGAGAGACAGAGCAUGAACGGGGGAGGGGCAGAGAGAGAGGGAGACACAGAAUCGGAAACAGGCUCCAGGCUCUGAGCCAUCAGCCCAGAGCCUGACGCGGGGCUUGAACUCACGGACCGCGAGAUCGUGACCUGGCUGAAGUCGGAUGCUUAACCGACUGCGCCACCCAGGCGCCCC
ensembl:lncRNA